rnacentral:rRNA from 1 species
CAAGUCGAACGCGAAAGUUCCCUUCGGGGAGCGAGUAGAGUGGCGCACGGGUGAGUAACACGUAGGUAAUCUACCUUUGGAUUGGGAAUAACAACCGGAAACGGUUGCUAAUACCGAAUAAUGCAGCGGCACCUAAUGGUGACAGUUGUUAAAGCGGGGGAUCGCAAGACCUCGCGUCUAAAGAGGAGCCUGCGGCGGAUUAGCUAGUUGGUAAGGUAAUGGCUUACCAAGGCUAUGAUCCGUAGCCGGCCUGAGAGGGCGGUCGGCCACACUGACACUGACAUACGGGUCAGACUCCUACGGGAGGCAGCAGUCGGGAAUUUUGGGCAAUGGGCGAAAGCCUGACCCAGCAACGCCGCGUGAAGGAUGAAAUCCUUCGGGAUGUAAACUUCGCAAGAACGGGAAGAAUAAGUAAGAGCUAACAUCUCUUAUGAUGACGGUACUGUUUGUAAGCUCCGGCUAACUCCGUGCCAGCAGCCGCGGUAAUACGGGGGGAGCAAGCGUUGUUCGGAUUUACUGGGCGUAAAGGGCGCGUAGGCGGCCACCGCAAGUCGAUUGUGAAAUCUCCGGGCUUAACCCGGAAAGGUCAACCGAUACUGCGGGGCUAGAGUGCAGAAGGGGCAACUGGAAUUCUCGGUGUAGCGGUGAAAUGCGUAGAUUUCGAGAGGAACACCUGCGGCGAAAGCGGGUUGCUGGGCUGACACUGACGCUGAAGUGCGAAAGCUAGGGGAGCGAACGGGAUUAGAUACCCCGGUAGUCCUAGCCUUAAACGAUGAAUGCUUGGUGUCUGGGGUUUUAUAGUCCCCGGGUGCCGUCGCUAACGCUUUAAGCAUUCCGCCUGGGGGAGUACGGUCGCAAGACUGAAACUCAA